rnacentral:rRNA from 1 species
UACAGAGGGUGCAAACGUUGCUCGGAAUCAUUGGGCGUAAAGCGCACGUAGGCGGCCUAGCAAGUAGGGAGUGAAAGCCCUCGGCUUAACCGAGGAAGUGCUUUCUAAACUACUAGGCUUGAAUACUGGAGAGGGUCGCGGAAUUCCCGGUGUAGAGGUGAAAUUCGUAGAUAUCGGGAGGAACACCGGUGGCGAAGGCGGCGACCUGGGACAAUACUGACGCUGAGGUGCGAAAGCGUGGGGAGCAAACAGG